rnacentral:tRNA from 1 species
AGAUAAUGAAGUAAAACCCCUUUACAUUUAGUUUCGACCUAAAAAUAGGAAUUAAUUCCCUUAUCUG